rnacentral:misc_RNA from 1 species
UACGGAGGGUGCAAGCGUUGUCCGGAAUUAUUGGGCGUAAAGCGCGCGUAGGCGGUCCAGUAAGUCGACUGUGAAAUCUCACGGCUCAACUGUGAAACUGCAGUCGAUACUGUUGGACUUGAGGAAGGUAGAGGAGAGUGGAAUUCCCGGUGUAGCGGUGGAAUGCGCAGAUAUCGGGAGGAACACCGAUGGCGAAGGCAGCUCUCUGGGCCUUUCCUGACGCUGAGGUGCGAAAGCGUGGGGAGCGAACAGG